rnacentral:rRNA from 1 species
UACGUAGGGUGCGAGCGUUGUCCGGAAUUAUUGGGCGUAAAGGGCUCGUAGGCGGUUUGUCGCGUCGGGAGUGAAAACCUUGGGCUUAACUCAGGGCUUGCUUUCGAUACGGGCAGACUAGAGGUAUGCAGGGGAGAACGGAAUUCCUGGUGUAGCGGUGAAAUGCGCAGAUAUCAGGAGGAACACCGGUGGCGAAGGCGGCGACCUGGGUCGAUACUGACGCUGAGGAGCGAAAGCGUGGGGAGCGAACAGG